rnacentral:lncRNA from 1 species
UACUAAUGUAAAACAACAAAAAUAUAAUAAAUAUACAGGGUAUAUAUAAAAGAAUGCCAAAGUUUCAAUAUGCAAUAACUUUAUUUCAAAUCUAAAUAAGAACAUACAGUUUAAUGAUUGAUUACACUAACAGUCAUUUUAGUAGUUUUUUAGAGAUACUGAAUAUGGACAUCUUUUGUGACACUAUACAUGUCAUGCCUAUAAAUCAAAUUCUUCCCAUAUGUGUGAAAUCAUUGCACUGUUCACUGAUACCAUGGUUGCUGAUAUGCACUCUUAAUUUAUCCAGCAUCUGUGGCAUGGGAAGAAUAUACACAUGAUCUUUCAUAAAUAUCCAUAGGAAAGGGAAAAGAUUGGGUAGCCUUGCAAGCCACAGAAUAAGACCAGCUAUCCCAAUUCACUAUCCUAGCUCUUUUCUAUCAAGAAAAUGAUGAACUUUGUUGUGAAAGUGAGGAGAUGAAACUUGAACUCUCUUUUCCUAAAGUCCUGCUUGAGUUGAGUCUACAGCUAGUAGUUCAACAAAUCCAGAUACACAUUGGCAGUAAUGGUUUGCUUGAUUAAGAAUAAUGCAUGUAAACAUUACAUAAAAACACAUAAAAACAUGAUCAAUUUCAGUGAGUCACAUUGCAGUUCAAUUAAGUUAUGUGGGUUGGUUCCCCUGAUUCAUAAAUUAUGUGUGCUCACUUUUCCAGUGGAAUAGAAUAUUGCUUCAUCACUAAAGAUGAGCUUAUCAAUUAAUGUUUCAUCCUUUUCCAUCUGUUCUUGAAAAUCUUUUGAAGGCAAGAAAUGGAGUAUACUUAUUGAGCAUUUGUAAUGCAUGUAAAAAAAAAACGUUGAAAGUUUUCUUAUUCAAUAAACAGAAAAUCAUCUUUCUAUUUCAAAUAUACUACAUGUGGCAAUUUUUAAAGCCCCAACAUUCUUUUUGAAUAGCACUGUAUAAUCCCUAUACAUAUUUGUAGUUCAAAUCAUUAUAAAUAGAUGUGAAUAAGACUGAUCUCCCACAUAGUUUUGAACAAAACAGAAUUGCAGUAUUUUCGAGAGGAGUUGUUUUCCAAUUCUUUAACAAAAUAUAAAACUAUAUUAUUGAUUGCAUAGAAAAAUUUCAUGAUUCCAUCAUGUUCUGUAUGCCCUCUUAACUUUUGGCAAUAAAUCAAUAGUCGAACCAGUCUUUGAUUGAAAAAUUUUAUAAAACAGAUACAAUUGAUCCAAAGAUGGCUUAGGAAAAAGAUUGCUGGCAUUCAUAUAUCUGAUGAUAUAAAAAAGUUAAAUGAAAUUUUUUUAUAUUUACAUACAUACAUUUCUAGUCAUUC